GAAGCAUCGUUUGAUAACGUGGCCAAGCAAUUACCUGAGUUGAUAAUACAAUAAUUGCACAGGUACAAUUACGUCAAUCGGGUAUAUAAACGCUUUGGCUACCUGUCGAUAUCAGUCGGGCACACGGGCUCCUUGCGUUACCACGGACCUUGAGCUUCCUUCCGACAUUACAACACCUCGGGCUCUGCAACAAUCACUCGGGGACCAUUAACCGACGACUACCUUCAACUGACGCCCGCCUUGGGUGUAUCUGCCUUGAAGGUGUUUGGGAUUGAUCCACACUAAGAUUACCUGACCAGUGGCCACUUAACAGGCAACCUGUGUUCACCUGGGACUGACCGGGACGUCGGGUCAAGCCAGGUGCGCCCAUUCACCUGGAACUUGUCAUCAAUUAUCAAGUUGACCAUUGAAUGAGUCCGCUCAUGGAAGGAAGGACACUCGGCGAUUUGAACACAAGGUUAAUGAAAAGGUACUCGACAGUACAACAUUGCUGGCACAAGUUGAUUGACAGUUAAACUAGUAACGCUUGAAUUCCUUUGCAAGGGAAAUGGUGUAGAUUGUUCUGGGCGACUCCAUCCACCUGGCCGCUACAGACUACUCUGGAACUCGCAUCAUCAGCAGUAUUCGUGUAACGAACAACAUCCACUUCCAGGAACCAUUUCUAAGACACGUCUCCAGUUCCAGCAGCCUAACCGAUGGUGGUUGCACGUGGACGUCUUUGACCGUCACGCGCAGAUGCACGCCGAACCCGCUCAUCGUUGCCAAUGGUUACGCGUGUUGUUACCCAAGAUAAUUUCAGCACCGCAUGCUAUGUAAGCGACUGACCCUAGUACGAUUUAUUUUAUUAAUGGAUACCGGUAGAAACGCAAGCCAAUCAAUAGAUUUGGGCGUUCUACUCUCACGCCAGCCGAUGUGGGUCUUGGUAGCAAUGGGAGGCCGAGAUGCUGCUUGCCAAAUAUAACCACCAGUCACAUUCUAGCAGUAUAUGUUUGGAAUUGGAACUAAACCCCAUUUUUUUUCAUUGUUAUACGCUUCACCUUAAUAUUCUGAUUUAAUCCAGCUUUCCUUUAAAACAUCUCCUGAAUAAAUAAA